rnacentral:rRNA from 1 species
UACGGAGGGGACUAGCGUUGUUCGGAAUUACUGGGCGUAAAGCGCACGUAGGCGGAUAUUUAAGUCAGGGGUGAAAUCCCGGGGCUCAACCCCGGAACUGCCUUUGAUACUGGGUAUCUGGAGGUCGAGAGAGGCGAGUGGAAUUCCGAGUGUAGAGGUGAAAUUCGUAGAUAUUCGGAGGAACACCAGUGGCGAAGGCGGCUCGCUGGCUCGAUACUGACGCUGAGGUGCGAAAGCGUGGGGAGCAAACAGG